ACUUCCAAUUCCUCUUUCUUUCUUGAAUAGUAUAUAUUUUGUAUUUUUAUGUGUUCAUACUAAUCUUGAACUGCUGUGAAUCAUGUUUAUAAAAUAUAUUCUAUAUGCAUGAUUAGUUUGUAUUUUCCUUUUUUAUGAUUUUGGGGUGGGUGUUCAACUUGAAAUUCUUGUAGGAGAGAGAGGAUAAGAUCAUGAGUCUAAAGUUAUAACUUUUCAAACCCUGGUACUUGUAGUUUUCAUGGAAUAGAACUCAUAUAUGCUUCUUAAUGAACCCAAAAUAAUAAAGUGAAUCCGAAUAGAAAGUAUAUACUUUUUAAUCGUCUGUAUAGCAUCUGAUUUGAAGUAUACCUAGAGAAAAAGUAGUCUUAAACCAAACGCGUUCUAUAGUAACACAAAUAAUAAGGGGAGGGGGUGGUUACUAGUGAUAGAAUUCUAUCACUCACAAGCACCAAUCAAGUUCCGCCAUGUCAUCAACCAUUUUUUCAUCAUUCACAACCUUUUUUUAGUGGGGGUGAUCAUCACUCACCACCACACCCAACAAUUUCCCCCCAACCAACAAUACACUCACAAAAAAAAUAAUAAUAACGGCGUGAUAAAAAUAACGAAAAUUUGAUUUCGUUAUAUAUUAACACGUUAUAGAAUGAAGUAGGGGUGGGGAUUUUUAAUUUCGUUAUAUAUUAACGAGUGAUACAAUUAUAUCACGGGAGUGCCCCACCUCCUCUAAACCAGUUACAACAUAGGGUGGGAAUUGAGUAUACAAUAGGUAAAUAUCAUGCAACUUGAAUAACAUUAAAUCAGGUAUAUUGGUUUAUCAGAAUACAGGUUAAAAGAAAUAAUAAAAAGAUGCUAGAGUAACAAUCUAGAGCAAUCCCCCGUCGCUCGUGUGUGGACAUGAGAAAAUGUUAGUCUGAAUGUUAGAUCUCAAAUACCAUCAACACAUUUUAGGUGCAUUGGUUUCGAUGAGAAGAGAACUCUACAUUUUAUAAGCAUGAUCAAAGGGGGUCUUCUACGGAUGGGUAACAUUUCACGUAGUCUCCAACCGGGUAACCAUAAACAAUUUAAUGCGAUCUUAGUGAUUAAAACAAACAAUAUUAGGUGAUAUGAUUAGCUGAAUGUUAGUUACUUUCUUGUUUAGGAUGAGGAGGCAAAACCUCGCCGGCGACCAUGAGUCCUCGAGGGUGCUUAUAGGACACCUUAGGCGAAUCCCACAUCCUUGACUGGAUGGUGGGGGCAAAUCAUUGGGCUUAUAAGGCAUAUCCUACCUCAAAUAUUACAAGCACGUUUUCAACGUAUUUGUUGUGGAAGAAAGGAGAACUUCAACGUUAAGAUUGCUUGGGUGGGGGUAAUCGAAGGAUGGGUAAUCUCAUGUGAAGUGGCCAUCCAGGUACGGCUCAUUGGAUCGUGUGUAUUAACGUAUCAAGAGAAGGUUCCUUCUGUGGGAGAAGGUAGGAGAUGAAGCUAGUCACGAGAAGCUAUUACUCAAAGGAAACUUUACUGCAUUGAACUUACAAAGUUGGAAACUACAGUCUACAAUAUGGGAAAUCGGAACUUGCUAAGCUGCUGAGAUACACCACAUGAGUGAAAUACUAAGCUAUUUAAACUAAGAUAUAGUAAGCUUAAACUAGAUAAUGGGGUAGUAGGGGAGUAACAAAUGCUACCAGUACCAAAGGGCUUGUAGCCCACUAGUAUCAAGAUGUGUACAUAAAGGUGUUUCUUCUUAAGUGGUUGGGGGUUCUAAGUCUGUCGUGGGCAAAUGUGUAGAUCUAGGAGUAGGGUAAGUGGGUGUGUUAGUUAGUCGUUUUAAUAAACACAAGCUAAUGCAAUAGUUACUCUAUGACUAAACUUCUUUAACGCUAAUUCACACACCCGCCAAACCAAUUCCUAAAUCUACAUCAAUGUCCAUGGGACUAGAAUCCUAAAUCACUUGUGGAGGAACACCAUUACCACACUUCUUGAUACCGCCAAGUAGGGAUGAGCACGGUACCUGUUCGGUACCGAAAAACGGGGAAACUAGUACCGGUACAGAAUAUACCGGUUCGGUACCGGUAUUUACCGGCGUUUUACCCGUAAAUACCGGUACCGAAAAACGGGGAAAAUGGGAACCGGUACCCGGUAACAAAGGGCCAUCCCUACCGCCAGGUUACAAACACUUUGAUACUACAUCACUUAACUAAGUCACAAAAUUCUUGUUGAACAUUAGGAAAGCCCCCCAUCUUAAUGAUUGUGUCAUAUAUCCUCUAUCAGGAUCGCGUUAAUAUAACUCAGCUCUGGUUUACAAUCCACCGUCUCCCCCUUAAACCAGACUAUUGCUCUUAGCUUCUUCCAUAAAACUCUUGAUGCUUCUUCUAUAUACUUUUCUUUGUACCCACUCUUUUCGACCAACAAAUUCUUCAACCAGCUGGUUUGAUAUGCUGCUGCACUAGCUGCCACAAACUCAGAUUCACUUGUCAACAAUUGUAAUGACAUCCAGAAGAUUAACAUGGACCAUUGUAACACCUAGGCAAAUCCCAAAUCAGCUGUUGGCAGGAGAGAUUCUUGGUUCAUAAGAAAUGCUAUGCCUCUUAAAUCACCAACGCGUUUUGGGCGCCUUUAGCUAUGGAGCACAUGAAAACUUCACAGUGAAGCGUGCUCAGGUCUGAGUAGUACCGGGGUGGUGACCUCCUGAGAAGUCUCCACCGAGGUAACCAAAAACAAUUCCACAAGUUCCUGGAUGGGCAACCCAUCGAGGACAAAGAGGGCAAUAUUGGUGGUACGAGAAGCCGGGUGUUACAACAAUGCUAGCUUCCUUUGUUUCUGUGACUAACAUGUGAUGAUAUUCUCCCUAAGAUAUAUUGAAAAGUUGGAAUGUACAAUAUUGAAAAUUAGAACUUGCUAAGCUACUGAGAUACAUUACAAGAAGAAGGACUAAUAUAUUUAUACUAAGAAUUAGUAACUUAUGUUGCGCUACCAUCACCAUCAUUAUCAUUAUCCCCAUCACCACCUCUUUCUCCUCCACCACCACCCACCACCAUUAUCAGCCACUAUUAGAUCACCACCACUGGAAAAUCACAUACCAUCACCACCACCAUAUGCCUACACACCACCAUGAGCACCACCGUUCCCUACACACUGCCAUUAACACCACUAUUCCCCAUCCCAACUCCAUCAACACCACCGUUCCCCUGCGCAACGCCAUCACCACCAUUGUUCCCCUGAGCAACGCCAUAGGGGGUCGUUUGGUCCGAUGGUGGUGGAGAUUUGUGAUUUCCAGCAAUUCCAUAUGCUAGGUGGUGGUGGUGGUUGAUAUGAUGGUUGCAGGCAAGAAAGAGAGAGAAAAGGUGAGAAAAGAUAGAGUGUUUUUUUAUGGUGGUGUUGCCAGAUUAUAGUGGAGAUGGCGGUGGUGGUGGGUGGUGCUGGUGGUGAUGGUGAUGGUUAUGCAACAUAAGCAGCUACGUCAAUAAAUAAUAAAGUUUUUUGUGACGCAUAAACAACCACAUCAGCAAAAAAAACUAAUAGGGUUAGACCUCUGUAGAAAAUGCUUGAUGAAAAAAAGGUUAAAAGUUGGGAUUAUCACUAAACAUUUUCAUAGUUAGGACUGUUGAUGGGCAAUAUGUCAUAGUUGGGAUUAUUUAAAUUCAUUAAACCGAUUUUUAACAAUGAUUUCAGAAACCAGAAAACAAAACCAAACCAAAUCGCUAAAUACGAUUUUUAAACACAAAAAAAAAAUCCAGCUGACACUGUUGGUUGGGUUGAUCGGUCGACCUAAUCAAUAAAAACGGAUUGUUUUGACGGUUUAGCAGUUUCAUCAAUCUUUUUAUAAUCUAUUUGGAAGGGGUUAGUUUUUAUUAAAUAUUUUUAAAUGAUAAAUAUGGUUUAUGAAACUUUAUGUACAUAACUCAUAUUCAUCAUAAUCAUCAUUGUAAGGGUUAACGGGGCGGUCCCGUUAUUUCAUCACGGGAAACAUUUAUAACGCUUGGAACUAUAUCUCCCCCACCCUGCCUCCUUGCUAUAACGCGUGAUGCUAUAACGCAAUUCCAUUUUCGUGAUAUUUUCAACGCGUUAUUGUUUUUGUUAUGUGAGUGUAAUUGUUGGUUGGGGGGAAAUUGUUGGGUGUGGUGGUGAGUGAUGACCACCCCGACUAAAAAAGAUUGUGAGUGAUGGAAAAAUGGUCGAUGACAUGGCGGAACUUGAUUGGUGUUUGUGAGUGAUAGAAUUCUAUCACUAGUGAACCACCCCCCCUCCCCUAAGAAUAACAAUAAUGCAUAUCAUUUUCGAGUUCUAAACCGUCAAAUAAUCCAUUAAGCCUGGUUUUUCAAACUAUAAAUUGUGUUAUCGAGAUUUGACUCGCGAACAACCCAUAUCUUACCACAUUUCUAGACAAUGUACCCUAUGUGUCUGUUGGUAUAAUUAUGCUCGUGUUCUAAUCUUUUAGAUUCACAAGUUCAUGUUUUUUUUUUUUUUUUUUUUUUUUGUAUAUGUAUCCUCUGUUAAGCUCAACCUUUAGGAUUAAGACUGUUUAACCCACAUCUUCUCUAUAAAGGGUAGAUGGGUUGUAAAUCUUUUUCUCCUUACCGUAUACAUCUUUACCCAACCUCGAUUUCUCUCUACCCCUUGUAUCUUACGUGCAUAUCACGCAUAUUUACGAUAUUCGAAGGCACUUUUAGGGCUAUGACGUAUAGUCACCCUUCUAAGGGGUUUUUAGAUGUUUUAAUUUCAUUCCAAACUUGAGAAAGACUAGAACUUGUCCAACCCAACUACAAGACCAACAUUUGUUGUAUGUUCUUAUGACUUUUUUUAUAAUUAAAUUGUUAAUCGAACCAUUCAUCUUAUUGGUCCAUGGGUCGUACUGUUUUCAAAAGUUGGGUGAGGUAAUAAUUUUAAGCUAAAAACUAAUUUAUUAAUAUACACACACAUACAUACAUAUGGGAAAGAUAUAAAGAAAAUCUAGGUGAGUUAUGAAACCAAGAAAACUUCAUCUACAGUUUCUCUCUUCUAUCUAACAUAAAAAGGUGCAACAGUUGGAUCUCUUACACUAAAAUCUUUCUAUAAAACAUGUAACAUGUUCUUUACAUGCACUACAAAUUAUCAAAAAAAAAAAAAAAAAAAAAAAAAAAAA